rnacentral:rRNA from 1 species
UAUUAUUUCAAUUGUAAAUUAUAAGGGCUUGAAGUAGUAUUAGUUAAGGGCUUGAAACUCAAAGAAUUUGGCGGUGUUUUAGUCUUUUCGGAGGAAUCUGUCCUGUAAUCGAUAGUACACGUUAAAAGUAACUUAGUUUUGUAAUAGCAGUUUGUAUACCGCCGUCAUAAGAAUAUCUUUUUAGAGAUCCAAUAUUCAGGAUUUUAAUUAAAAAAUAUGUCAGGUCAAGGUGCAGCUUAUAACUAAGAAGAGAUGGAUUACAAUAAAUUUAUUUAUUACGGAUCGAUAAUGAUAUUUUGACAUGAAGGUGGAUUUGGAAGUAAUAUUAUUAAAUAAUGAUAAUAUGAUUAAAGCGCUGAAGCAUGCACACAUCGCCCGUCACUCUCAUUAUUAAGGUGAG